AUUGAACGCUGGCGGCAUGCUUUACACAUGCAAGUCGAACGGCAGCACGGGGGCGAACCCUGGUGGCGAGUGGCGAACGGGUGAGUAACACAUCGGAACGUGCCCAGUUGUGGGGGAUAACCUAUCGAAAGGUAGGCUAAUACCGCAUGAGCUCGGCGAGAGGAAAGCGGGGACCCAGCGAUGGCCUCGCGCGACUGGAGCGGCCGAUGUCCGAUUAGCUAGUUGGGGGGUAAAGGCGUUACCAAGGCGACGAUCGGUAGCUGGUCUGAGAGGAUGAUCAGCCACACUGGGACUGAGACACGGCCCAGACUCCUACGGAGGCAGCAGUGGGAAUCUUGCGCAAUGGGCGAAAGCCUGACGCAGCGACGCCGCGUGAGGGAUGACGGCC
rnacentral:rRNA from 1 species